AACGAACGCUGGCGGCAGGCCUAACACAUGCAAGUCGAACGCUGCAGCAAUGCAGAGUGGUAGACGGGUGAGUAACGCGUGGGAACCUUCCCAGUGGUACGGAAUAGCCCAGGGAAACUUGGGGUAAUACCGUAUAAGCCCCUAGGGGGAAAGAUUUAUCGCCAUUGGAUGGGCCCGCGUCGGAUUAGCUAGUUGGUGAGGUAACGGCUCACCAAGGCGACGAUCCGUAGCUGGUCUGAGAGGAUGAUCAGCCACACUGGGACUGAGACACGGCCCAGACUCCUGCGGGAGGCAGCAGUGGGGAAUAUUGGACAAUGGGCGCAAGCCUAAUCCAGCCAUGCCGCGUGAGUGACGAAGGCCUUAGGGUUGUAAAGCUCUUUUGGCGGGGACGAUAAUGACGGUACCCGCAGAAUAAGCUCCGGCUAACUUCGUGCCAGCAGCCGCCGUAA
rnacentral:rRNA from 1 species